rnacentral:rRNA from 1 species
CGGACGGGUGAGUAACACGUGGAUAACCUACCUAUAAGACUGGGAUAACUUCGGGAAACCGGAGCUAAUACCGGAUAAUAUAUUGGACCGCAUGGUUCAAUAGUGAAAGACGGUUUUGCUGUCACUUAUAGAUGGAUCCGCGCCGCAUUAGCUAGUUGGUAAGGUAACGGCUUACCAAGGCAACGAUGCGUAGCCGACCUGAGAGGGUGAUCGGCCACACUGGAACUGAGACACGGUCCAGACUCCUACGGGAGGCAGCAGCU